rnacentral:rRNA from 1 species
UGGCGGCAGUAGCGCGGUGGUCCCACCUGACCCCAUACCGAACUCAGAAGUGAAACGCCGUAGCGCCGAUGGUAGUGUGGGGUCUCCCCAUGCGAGAGUAGGGAACUGCCAGACA